GGGGUUGUGGCUCAGCGGUAGAGCACUCACCUAGCAUGUGUGAGGCCCUGGGUUCAAUCCUCAGCUCCGCA
rnacentral:tRNA from 1 species